rnacentral:lncRNA from 1 species
ACCUGAUGAGUAGCAAUAAAGUAUCAUUGGCAAAAGUAGCAGGCAAAUGCUAGAUAUCAAGAGGCACAACAUCUUGCUUUUCAUCUCUGCCUAGUCUAUAUCAUUCCAACGCUUUCCAAAUAAAUUAUGGGAAAGCUCCCAUUGAGAAAUAAAAUUGCUUCUGGCUGUCACUUGAGUUAUAGCAAUAAUAGUAUCUGUAAAGCAUCAGCUUAUGGGCCCUCUAUUCACGUUAGAUCCUGGUUAUAUCAUAUUGCGUUGCUUACGAACUUAACACUUAAAGGCUUACUAACUAAACACUCGUCAGUUUUAAAAGCUGGAGUGUUUUUCCUGAAAACUUAAACCUACACUUAAAGGCUAGUUGGUGUCGAGGAUUGGCAGGAUGAGUUGGACACAGUGCAAAGAUGGAGGGGGAUACGAAUUUGGGCGAUGAGUGAGUGGAUUCUGCUCUGGAAGCGGGUGUGCUGAACCAACAGGUAAGGACGUGUAAUCCUUGUGCUCAUGUGUGCUUCAUCGAAAGUAAUGUGUACACAAAUUCUUCCCAUUCUUGGUGUAACAGCAGCAGUCUAUUUUCUCUCAGCUGUUAGAUGCCAAGUAUAAACUGAAAAGAUUAAUUACUCAAUAUUAUGUUUCACUUUGAACAAACUACCAUACUAACGGCCCACAUAACAUUCUCACAGGAUAUAUAUGAAUGCCCCAUGGACCUUGUACAAUUUCGUGCUUAAGAUGUACUGCGAGAAAAGAAUCUUGAUUGGAGCAACUAAAUGGAAAACCCACACUACCAGUUACAGCUUUGGAAGGGAAACAAUUGCAAAGGCAAUGCAUCAAAUGAAACGCUUGAUGCCAAUGAUGAAUACUACUGUGCAUGAUAAUAGUAUGAACAGACAGCAGGAGUGAAGGGCUGAAGG